UCAGACGCAUGAUUCGCGGUAACUUACAUAGCCCAGGUCAGUCGAGGUUCGUACAUUCGAUUCACGAGGUAUCCGAUAAGUGCAAUCCGUGACUCGCUGAUGAGAAGAUCGCAGUUUUACCUAAAACUGACGAAGUUUUGUUUCGUCGUCUCGGUAUUUGAUAAAUUUCAGAUAUCUACACCGCAGCUUUGAGGAAUAUCGUCAGAAGCCGUACGCCUCCACUUCGUCUUCGUAAACAAGAAUAGUCGCCGACUUCCUCCGAAUGCUAGCAUCGCUACAAAUAUCCAUCAAAAUGAACAACGUAUUCUGAUAUUUCUGGCGACAUUUCUGGUUUCAAUGUACGAUCCCUCUCCUUCACAUGAGGGGCCACCUAAAGAAAAGGAAAACAGCGGAGGACGCGAAUCCUGCAGCGAUUUGAGAUUGACUGUAACCCAAAGAUCAGGAUAUCUUCCGUUCAACGAACGACGGAGGGAGUUCGUUAGUCCUUCCAUUUUUCGAGCGGUAUUCGAUGAAUGAUAUGGACCCGCAGUCGGGACACACGUCCGGAAACUUCAUAGCUUUUGGUGACGUAAAUUUAACAGUUAUUGUUUCGCUCCAACAUGAUGCGCAAAUUUGAUCAUCUAUAUGAAGCGAAAUAUUCAAAGUUGAUUUUUCAUUGGCUGACAAUGAAUUAUGUCUAACCCCGGACGUAUGCGCCAAUAAAAAAAAUCGAAUCAACGUUCACUUUCAUACUCCUGCUUACCUUACAAAAAUCUGGAUUAAAAAAUUGCACACCCACUUCGACUUUACUUCCGUUUGAUUGUUCGAAAUGUAGUCUCCGUCAGCUCUACCAAGCACAUAGCUACAUGUAUGGGUAAAUCUGAACCACAUAAUAAAACGGUACGAGGUAAGUACUUAACAUUCAAAUAGAACAUAGAACCUUCGAUCCAAUCAAGUAUAAGGCAUUGUGUUUAUUAUAGCUGACUGGCAUAAAUGCAUGAGAAGUAAGUCGAUGUAAUACAAUAUUAACUUCGUCUGCGAUGACAAGCACAAAAGGGCCAUUCCUUUUUUUUGUCGAUGAAGUUUCUUAUUACAGACAAAUUUUGCUAAGAAACCAUUCAGGAAUCUCGCUGCAUUUCUCCUCAAACUCCAAGGGGGUCGGUAGCAACCGUUAUCGCUGCGCUGGCUUCCUUAUGGUUCACCGUGUCAGCAAUGAGCUUUACACUACAUCGUGAUAUUCACAAUUUCAAUGUACGGAAAUGAUUCAAUGUGAGAACGUAUUUAUGAAGCGCCAGACGAUUUCCAUACGGUGACAAAAAAAGUGGGGCUCCUCGAGAAUAACAACGUAGUCUCAGAGAUUGGUCUAGUUUCUCACCAAAUAAUUUCUAAGGAAAAUGUGCCCGAUUUUAUUGGAAAUAUUCGAAUGGAAAAAUCUCUUCCGAAAGGGAAAAGAGAUCACGCUCGUUUCACGCUACCGAAGUGAUCCGCAGAUCGUUAUUAGAGCUUCGAGAGAGAUCGCGAUAUCCUUGGACGACGAGUUUCUUGUUUUUUAUUCCAAGCGCCGGCGGUCCUCUUCCGAACAGAGUCGAUGACGGCAGGAACCAAUGUUCGAUUGAACAAUGAGGUGGCCUUUCACCUUUCCGCCUUGUAUCUAUGAUGUCAAGAAUUACGUGGAUCUACAAUUCAAAUUCAUUACCAUCGAACAGCCAAUGAUAAUGUACGUCAACCGUCGCGUUGACCCACCUCCUAGACUCAUGCCCGUCGAGUGUUUUUCAACUAGCACGUACGUUCGAUUAUUAUCAAUCGCUCAGGCAUUCCACUGGAAAAGCGCCAGUCCAUGUUUGCGUUCUCUUCAACAUGCCGCCGAGAUACGAGUCGUUGUUCGAAACAAGAAUAGAAGAACAUUUACGCCGCACGAACGAAAGUGUCGUCAAUCGGAAAGAACCUGCCUCCUUCACCGAUCUCUCCGCGGUGUCUGAUGGCUUCGAUCCGCAACGUUGGUUUGAUCCGUCAAGCCCCCGUUGGUAUCAGGAUAACAAGCGAACGUCUGACUCGAAGACCUUCCCCACUCGCCUAAUGACCCCAAUUAAACGAAACGCCAGAUCGCAUCCGUCUGACGAGUAGGUGUGUAUCCUUGUCAUCCUGCCGUACACAAUGGUCACAGAGUAGUACGUGACCAGUUGAAUAUCAUUCACCUGACCCAACACGGGACUAUUCAUACCACGAUAAUUUUAUGAACUCCAAAAGGGCGAAGGGGCGGAGGAAAACACGAUGCCUGUAUACCCACCUACGCACAAAAUUGUCGCUGGAGGCAACGCGAACCCGAAAGAGGGGGAGAGGGGGGGAGAGUGUAGGGGGUGAGUAAAUGGGUAUUGGGUUACGUAUCGCUAUAGAGGAGUUUUCGUCGGAGGGUCGGUAUAGCGCCGUUUUGUUAGGGGGGGGGGGGGGGUCGUGUGGCCUUGGGGCGAACCACGUGCGAGUGGUCGGGAUCCGGAAAUGUUUGUUGUAUUUUCCCAUAUCUGACGUUAACUAAUGUGGGUUAUCGCGGAGAGUUUGCAAAACGUGGUAUAAUCAAAGGACCGGAAUUGCAUAUCAUCGUCGUCGCGUCGUCGUCUUGUAGCUGCAACUUUGAAAGGGUGAAUGGAACUCACGCACCGUAACAACCCCUUGAUCGUACGCGGGAUGCGCUGAGCUUUGAACGAAGGUUCAGACGGGCGCGAAACCGAAGCAGUUAAGCCGCUUGAUUAAAACCGCCACCUUCCAUCCUCGCGGGGUCUCGACGUUUAAUGAGACAACGGAUACGCCUCGUUUCAUUAGACGCGAACUACAAUCUUCCACUUGCCCUUUCCCCCCCCCCCCCCCCCUCUGCUCCCCCCUUCCGCACUCAUAAUCAGAAGUGGAAGAGCUUUUUUUACGAGGAUAUUUGGCCGACUCGAAUAUCUAUGCGCGAUACACCGGUAUCAUUUUUAUUUUUUUCUCUUUCUCGCUAGGCAAGAGAAAGAAAUCUUUUUUUUUUUCAGAGUCCGUACCGGCCUCGCCCGCCCGUGCCUCGGGGCAGGGUUUUUUUAUACGCCAUUUCGGGGAGAUAGAUAAAUUAGGACGAGGCGCAGCCAAGCGUUGGCGAUAUCGUGCGGGUGACGUUGAAAGAAUAAGACUCGAUGCGGCGAAGAAUUAGGGUUGAAAAUUUCCACGUUUCAAGAUAAAAGAAAACUUUUAUUCGUAGCGAAUAGCGGAGAAUUUUCUUAACAAUGCGUACGCCGUAUAGUCGGUGAGGAAAAUUUUGCGAGGCACCCUACCCGCCGCGUAAUGCAAUUCGCUGCUAAAUUACGUUCAAGCGAAGAUUGCAAUUCCGUCUCCGCGAGAGAUGAAACAACUCCGUAACUAUACGAGCCUAACGCAAUUUCUGACUGUGAUCUUUUGUAACGGUCGCCACCAAAUCGCCCUCGCCCGCUCGCCUGACGCUCUAGACGACGACGGCGGCAUGCGCCAGACGCACACGGAUUUUUUUUCAACUCCCCUUUGCCUCGACGUUCCAACCCCGCCGAGAAAACCCCCUAAUAUCCCUUCGGGCGAUCGCUGUUGAAUACUCUUUGCUUUCCAAUUUUUUUCUAUAGUCUAGCGAUAUUUUAGCGCAUAAAGUACGAUUAUCAAACACACGCUAUGCGACGCCGCGGCGGAAUCCGUUUGAGGUUUUGCGGAAUUGCAAUUCGUUUGACGAUCAAUGUUAGCGAGAUUUAAUUAUCCCGAUAUACCGCGUCGAAGGUACACAGAGGACAUGGUGAGAAAUAAAUUUAAUUCCCGUUAAAACUGCGCGAGCAUUCGUCUGCUAUGAGUAGGCGUUUUAUCGCGAGUAAUAAACCCCCCCCCUGGAGGAUAUCAACUUUAGGCCCGUUUAUUCGCUCGAGUCUCGGCUAGGAAAUUAAACGUUCAAUUAAACAAGCUACAGCAGCUAUCGCCUCGUGACCAUCGAACGAAUUAUAUAUCCCCGUUUUACAGCUACACGUAGUCCUAGAAUAAACCAAUAGAAGAAGGGGCAUCGAACCGCUAUGAACGUGCAAAAACCUUUACCCUUCGGUUUGCCGGGAAUAAAAAAAAAGGAUGAUUCGGGGGUUGGUAUGAAAAACAAAAAAAAAAAAAAGGUCCCGUUUGUUUCGGUUAUCGCUAAGCUGAAUUUUGUACGGUUUCCGAUCCGCACGCGUUUUGCCGUUUCGUAUUUCCGCAUUCGGUAUACGCUCGUAAUCCGGUUUCGUUCGUUCGUCGAUUAUUCGUCGAUCGUCCGGCUAAUCGAAAGCGCGGAAGUUAAAAUGAAAAAUUGAUAUGGUAAAUGGUAAAUUUGAAUAGAAAGUGAAAAAAUACUAAAGUCAAAAUUGACGUUGCCAAGUAUCACACGGCUCGUCAACCGAUUCCGCAUUUGUCGACUGGGCUGAAUCAAUCUCGCUAAUCGAGGUGCCAUUCGUGUAGACGGAAUUCUCAAAAUUUCUAUAGCUGCGACACAACCCAUAUCUAUUUGGCGGAUCGCAACCGCGUCAGCUGAGACCUGGAUCCUUGCGUCAGCUUUUGAAACGACCUCGUACCCGCGAUUUUCGAAAUAACGAGGGGAGAUUCGCGGAUGGAAUAUAGUCGCGAACGAGGCUAUUUGCGAAGCUCUAGUUUACUACCUUAAUUCGCUUAGACUUUGCGCCUUUUUCGCGAAACAACACACCAACAAGAACAAGAACAACAAGAAGGUACUGGCUGAGGAAGAACUAUGUAACCCGGAGUAAAAGCGUCCCGGGAAUUCUCGCGGAGUGCCAUCCGGAUGAGAAAACGCGAAUCCAAAGUCGGGCAACGUGUUGCUCUAAACUUGCUCUAUUUAUCAGGGUUAAGAGACCCGCACAGUCGUAUAUACCUUAUACACUGAAACCCAACUUCACCAAUUAGCGUCCGCGUUUGGCUGCCUCCUCUGCUCCCGAGGCGAACCUAGCCGGGAUGCAAAACCUGGAGUAUAACUCUUAGAAAAGCUGGAAACUACGGCGCAAGUUAGAAAAGUCAAGAAACCAGUUAGUGCUGCAGCUGGUUGCUUAUCUCGGUUACAGGCUUUCCAAGAUUUCCGACUAUCGCCGAAUAAGUCAUUUUUCUUCGCGGACGAUUCAAUCGCGGAAGCGUUGAAACGAUUCAACAUCCGGUAAUGGAAGCUUACGACUAACGGGUACGACGUAGACAUCGUUCAACGUUGGACCAAAUCUGAUCGAAUUCGAGGAAUCGAUUCGGAGUCGUUGAUAAUUAGAAAAAAAAAAAAUCAGAAAUUUGCUUACCGAGAAUCCAAGCUUAUCGACAAGUGCGACAUCCCCCUCGGUCAUCCUCCGACGCCGUUAUUGGUAAUUAUGUGAAAGGAGAGAAAAAAGUGACUACGAGACCGACAGCCUGAUCCUUCUUGUUAACAACUUUGACCUAGCGUUACAUGCGUCUCGGUUCCGGGGUAACUGGAGAAUUUUCAGCCCCGACAGCGCGGGGGGGGGGGGGGAAAACGACGUCGACCGAGGCCUUCGGAGAUACGGUAACGAAGGUGACUCCCGAGGAUUCGGAGUACGCGGUUAAAUUAUUCUACGUUACGGGCCUCCGGGACUUACGCUGCAGUAUUUAUGGGCCAGCUCCCCGAAUUUCGUAUACACGUACGUUGUACCUGAGGUCGCCUUAAUAUUCUCGUUAUACAUGGUGAUCGCGUCUCCCCGGAGUCUCCGCGAGGCCAAAAGGUUGAAGGUAGUGUGGAUGGAAGGCUGGAGGUGCACACGUGAAAGCCCCGUGUAUACGUUAUGUGCACACAAUCCCGUACGAGAAGGACCAAAGCGGAGAGCGUGCGCGCGCUACGGAGUCCAUGGGAGUCGGGAGCGGAGAUUUAAAAUUCCGGAAGGCCGUGUAGGUACCACGUGACAAAGUAGAAUCGCUUUGGGCAGCUGAUUUCAUUGUGACAUUUCGUAUUCUCCGUACUUUUUCCCCGUUGAAUUUGGGCUCUGGGUUUUCCGAAAUUUUCGUCGAUUGCUGCUCGCCGACCGGAGACCUCUAACGCCCGUCUGAAUAAAACAUAGCAAAAACAUCAAUCUGGAUUUCCCCGAUCUAGAAAGUAUAACGCUCUCAGAUUUCAAGGGGACGAAACCAUCCCCCGCUCGACCGAUGGGCGAACACCUGGGAAUUUCUUGUGAAUUUCUUGUUUCGUUAAAUACCAGCGAAGAUCGGGACGAACGUUGAACCGAAGACGAAUUUUUUUUCGGUCGUUCGUUCGGAAUAUUUUCCGCUUCAAUUUUCCCUCGAAAAUGGUGAAAAAUUUGUAAAGCGAUGCGGCCAUACGAAGCGCACAAAUCAGAAGCAGCUACGUGUAUAUGUAUAUACGUAUAUUACGGAGCAUUGAACGUCCUUCGAACUCUCUGAAUACGCCCCCGAAACGGGGUGAAACCGUCGCGUCGCGGCAAGAAGGCCGAUUCACAGCCAUUACGUACAGCUUUUCAAUAAACCGCAAAAGUUCUAUCCCACUUCUCCUUCGACGAGAACUUUGAAAAAGUUCCGUAUAGGAAUUGGCCAACAGAUAAAAUACAGAUUUCGCAUUCCGGUGCCUGCUAGGAUUGGGCGUAAAAAAAAAAAAAAAAAAAACAAGAAGAAGGGAAAACGAGGAGAAAAAAGACUAAUAUCGAGAUAACGAAAAACCGUUCGGAGAAGCUUAGCGAGUAAUUUGUAAACAUAAAGUCCCUUUUUGACUCGUUGAAUAAAAAGGGCGGCUUAAUUCACGCGUACCGUUUAAGCGGGUGGAAGUAGGAGGAAGAGACGAGUGCGAUUUUUUUUUACGAUAAAAUUCACAAUCCACUUCGGUACGUUCCCCCCCCCCGUACUCUGAAACGAAAGCUCGCGCGUCCAGAGGACAUGAAAGUAAAAAUCGACAAUCCACGUGGCUCUCCGUCGUACGCCUCGAAUGUCAGUUGUUCGGUCGCGUGUUUCGAUAUUAUAAUGUCCGCAUAAAAUAAACUAUCUUGCGUAUUUUCUUCGAAACAAUAUCCGAAAUUUGCUCGCAGCCGUUUCGAUGAAAUCCUUCGAAUAACAGUAUAACAUAUUCCCUCGUAAAACAACAUGCAGAUUCGCCAGAACCAGUUUUUGCUCUCGGUUCACCGUCGCGAAUAAGAUUCCGCGGGCAAAACCGCUAAUUUGAAUCGGAUCCACUCGACGUUAAUUUUCACCGAAACUUGAAUAAAAAGUAAAAGAAUAAUCAAAUUGUUGAAAAUGUAAAUUCGCCACUACGCACCUCGAACGUAUAAAUAAAGCUAUGUGUAAUGUUAUUCAAAUAUAUGCGUGUUUUAUGCCACUCAAAUUUAUAUCUCUGGCGUUGUCACGUCAUCGCGGCCUAUGCAACGCGCUUCGAAAUUUCAUGUUUGUUUUCGCAGUAGAUCUCGAGGUACGCCGGUCCGGAAAUUCGGACCUAUGCCCGCGCGAGUAAAAGGCAAUCGCAAUUACGCCGUUCCACUUUCCCAAGGAAUCCCGUAAAACGCUUCGAAGAUUUUUCUAUCGAUUGUCAAGUCGAUUCCCGCGAGUCCGACGUGAACGCGGAGAGUCGGUCCUCCAUAUUCAGCGGUACGCGAGAUACGUCAGACGAGCUGACUUUUUUCUUUUCGUUUCAAGUUUCUCCGUUUUUUUUUUCUUUUUUUUUUUUUCUGUUACACGCCAACCGCAACGAUAUUCGCAGCCGCUAUCAUCCCGCGAUAAUAUAUCCCCCCUCUCGGAUACAAUUAUACAAAUCUAAUGAAAAUGGCAAAAAAAAAUAAGUGGGCUGUUCCAUUCCUUCCUCCCUCCACUUUUUUUUCCUCAUACGCGGCCGUACGGCGCUUCGGGAGACCGGGAUAUAUGUCCUACAGCGACGACGAGAUGGCGGAACAAAUAAACGACGUAAAUUAUCAUUAUUAUCAUAGGUAAUCAAGGAAGAAGGGAUGGAAAAAAUAUUCUCUCAUAGCGCUAGAGGAGAAAAAAAAAAAAAUAAGUUUAUUUUACUUUCGGCGAUAAACUACCUACUUUAUGUAACGGCGUUGAACCUGCAUCUGAUUCCGACCUCUCCAAUUACCUCUUCUUCUCCUCCGCAGUUUUUGCGAGUUUUUUUUUCUUUCUUUCUUUCUUUCUUUGUUUUUUCCCGACGUAUGCGUAUAUUAUUUGUUUCGCCGUUGCGAAAAGAUACCGAUAAUUCUUAUCGCGAUGUACGAAAAACGCCUCCUAAUCAUUACCGAAGCAAUUAAGGCGACGCAAGAAGAAUAUCCUCGAGCGUUCUCCGACUCGUCGCGUGAUAAUAUUUGGCGUGCAAAUAUCAUUCAAAUGCUCCCUACGUGCGUAUUAUAUCUCAUUCAUAUGUAUCCGCGCACACAACACGUGUACCCAGUUUUAUGCACGUGCAACGGCGAACGUUAUACAUAUACGUGCGUCAUAUAUGUAUACCGACUUCUUCUCGAGCUCUUCAACCGACUCGUACGUACACGUACAGGCGAAACUUCUCUUCGAAAAUAUAUAAGCAUCAGCUGUUACUUCAUUACGUAUACAUGGAUGCAGGUAGAGGUAUAUAAAUAAUAACGUAGGGGUAGCGGCGGUGUCCUGGAACAAAAUAAAUUAGCAUCGUUUAUACCAAUGUAGGUGGGUAGGUUACGUCAAUAUGUACAUGUAAUACAUACGUUAUAUCUUCCGUUUUGGUUUUCGCCAACUGUUCCUCUCUUUCUCACUCUCUCAGGUAUACACAUGUAUAUCUCCGAGGCUCGCGGACGUUUCGCGUUGCGGGGGUAAAGUCAGCUUCCGUCUUGGUUGAACGUCAAGUAAUGCAUUCAUACGCGUACUUUGGCUAAGUAAACUCGCGAAGCACUCAGCGAGCCCUCCCUCCUCCAUACAUACGUAUACGGCCGGAUAGCAGCCAUCUUUUCAUAGCAUUUGGCUAAAUGAAGCGGAAUGGUGAGCAGACGGAAGUUCAACGAGCCAUCCUUCCAACGUCUGGUAUAGGGUUCUUUUUUCCGUCAUUUCCUUUUUGUUUAUUCUUACUUCCUUCCUUAUAAGCUUUUCUAUUUUACUUUGCCUUCCUUUUUUCGCUCGAUUCUCUUUCCUUUUGCUUCUUCUUUUUUUUUCUCCUCCUCCGCGACCUCCGUUGCUCGUCCGAGCUUUUAACCCCCCCCCCCCCUCCCCCCCUCAGCGAUAUCGCCGAAAAAUGUUUUGGGGAAGAGGAACGAAAAAAUUUUUUUUCAAACAUUUUCACAGAGAUGAUUGAAUGAACAGUUUUGCGGAAUCCGCGAUGCGUGGGCCGUCCGUUAUUAUACUCGUUAUAUUUCUUCCGCCUUUUUCUCGCGAUUCGAUACAGAGGAUCUUAUUAACAGAGGAGUUUAUUUGAAUAACGACUUAUACGGAAUCGGUUGAUAUCCGAAGGUAUAACGUAAUUACGUGUACGCUCACAUGUAUGUACCUGGUAAUAGGUAACAAUUUAUUACGUUUCUUUGCACCGCGUCUGCACACCGGUCUUUACGGUAGCUGUCGGGUCGUCGACCCCGUAACGUCUUACGAGUGUAUAAAUGUCGGGGGGCAUAAAAAAUGAAGUACCACUCGAUCUUCGUCUCCGUUCAGCGUACGGCGACCGAUGUGAAAAUUCGUUUGAAAUGCCCACCGCUCUUUAUUCGAACUCGACUAAUUUUUCAACCGUCGAUAAACCGCCUUUCUAACAAAUUAAUUACUCCGUCUCUGACAUGAGAGUAGAAAAAAAAAAGUAAAAAGAAACUCGAUGGUUUUUCACUCCGAUAACGUGUGAUGCGGUGGAGGAGACACGGCUGCUGUAAUAAUAUUCGACGAUUACAGUGAUUCACCUGCAGCGUUAACGAGGGCAACCCCUUCAUCUCGGUCGACUGCGCUUCGCGUCCACCCUUUUCCCCCCUCGAAUUUCCCCUCUCCUAAUUCCCCCCCCCCCACCCCUCGCACUACUUCGCCUUCCCGAUGUCCAGGUAUGAAACGCGCGAGGACUGGAAUCGCGCCACGUGUUUGUUUGUUACAUGUGCGGAACGAGGGGGUCAGUUGGAUGCACCUGCAAACCGUCGUGGUCACGUGGACGAGCGAAUUCCGGAAAAGAGACACGUUGAGCAUCGGGUGAAUGAAUAUUCUGGAAAGGUUGAAAUUUCCCACCUUGGAUCUGGAUUAAAGCAACGACGUACCGGUAUAGGUAUAUACCUAUACACGCAUCUCUUCAUAAAUACAGUAUCAAGGGGAGGCAUCUUUUUGGUCCAUGCAUAUCUGGAUAUGGCGAAGCUUCUACGGAUAGAGCUUCAUCUUUCCAACGGUCUGGAACAAAGAAACCUGGGGCGUAUAUAAGCGGUGUAGGUUAUAACUAAUAUUGUACAGGUACGUACAAUACCUAUGAUACGCGUUUAUACGUGUAUAAAUACCUAUGUACGGACGGAAAAUAUUUCACUCGCAGCCGCGGCAGCUAUAGACCGCACUUUCGGCUCACUCAAUUAUAUAAGUUUCAGACGCUCGCCGAGUUCGGUACACAUCGUACCCACAUUAUACAUGUACGUAAUUUUUUUUGUUUUUGGGUUUUAUUUUUUAUUUUUUUUUUUAUUUUCGGGAAUUCUGCCAACUUCGUUCGAUUCGACGGACGUGAGUGCCCACGAUAUUUUUCGUUGGAAGCUCUCACCGAGCAACGAAAAGAACG